UUAAAUAGAGGGAUGACAUACUCAGAUGCACAGUUUAGAAAGAUCUCUAGGGAUGUGGGUGAAGGCAGGUCUGGGGAAAGUCAGCCUGGAGGCAGGGAGACAGACAUAGGGGCCUUGUCACAGGCACCUGGGUGAAAGUCAACAGUGGAAGGAAUCAGGGACAGUGUAAGUAGAAGCCAUAGGUCUUGAGUGUGGUUGGCUGUAGGAGAUGAGGAUUGAUGAGGGGAAUGAAAGCUGUGUUUCAGCAAGGAGGAGUGGUUUAAAGUGUGGAGUUUCAGGUGCAGCCUUGGCAGGCUAACUGGCAGUGGCACAGAUUAAUAUGAAUCUCAGGACAGAGAACUGUGUUCUUGGCAGUGAAGUGAAGUCCUUGACAAGUGAGACAGAACAGAGGAGGAGGAGUUGAGUAAGGAGGAGGUUCCAUAUGAAUAUAACUUCUUGCCUAAGUUGGUUUAGGUAAGAAGACUCUUCAUGUGCCUGUUUCCUUCAAAUUUUAAGGGAAUCACUCAGGCUGCAUCUUCUCUCCCUUCUACUCUCCCUGAGAUGAGAGAAGAACGAUCACCAAUGGCAAAUGCAGUUGUAGCGAAGUAAAACCAAGAGCUGGCCUCACGCGCCACAGAGAAUGCUGCGUCUCCUCCUCAUGGUUUCUGGGGCUCCUCACGCUGAGAAACUUCUGUAGCCACAAAUCAUAUAAAUGAUCCCUGAAAGUAUAGUCUUUCCAUUUCUUACUAAUGAAGUCAUGCUCUGCUCACCUCCAACUUGACAGUGUUUGGUAGCUUUGUCAUAGGCUUCUCAUUGCUGAGGCAGGAACCAUAGGAAUAUUGGCCUCAGAAACAGUAAGGUGAGGGACAAAGAGUCUAAGAUAAGGAACCUAAUAUUGCAUCAUUGCCUAGUGGCAGGGAUGGCAGAACGCUGUCAUUCCCCACCCUGUGCCGGUGGCAGACAUUGCUAAUCAAUCAUGCACUCUUAUCUACUGAACCUGAGGAGCCUCAGACUCCUCAAAAUGGUGGCCCUGAGUCACAUCCCAG
rnacentral:lncRNA from 1 species